CACGUGGGCAACCUGGCCUCCUGGACACCGGGAUAACCCAGGAAACCUGAGCUAAUACCGGAUAUUAACGGCGUGAUCGCAUGGUCGCGCCGGGAAAGCUCCGACGGUCCGGGAUGGGCCCGCGGCCUAUCAGCUUGUUGGCGGGGUAACGGCCCACCAAGGCGACGACGGGUAGCUGGUCUGAGAGGACGGCCAGCCACACUGGGACUGAGACACGGCCCAGACUCCUACGGGAGGCAGCAGUGGGGGAUCUUGCGCUAAUGCGCGAAAGCGUGACGCAGCGACGCCGCGUGGGGGAUGAAGGCCCUCGGGUUGUAAACCCCUUUCGGCAGGGACGAAGCGAAAGUGACGGUACCUGCAAAGAAGUCCCGG
rnacentral:rRNA from 1 species